CCGGCACGGGUGAGUAACACGUAUCCAACCUGCCGUCUACUCUUGGACAGCCUUCUGAAGGAAGAUUAAUACAAGAUGGCAUCAUGAGUCCACAUGUUCACAUGAUUAAAGGUAUUCCGGUAGACGAUGGGGAUGCGUUCCAUUAGAUAGUAGGCGGGGUAACGGCCCACCUAGUCUUCGAUGGAUAGGGGUUCUGGGAGGAAGGUCCCCCACAUUGGAACUGAGACACGGUCCAA
rnacentral:rRNA from 1 species